CGACGUUCAACCGCAAAACAAGCAGAGGGGGCUUAGUGGUGGGGUGACUGCGUACCUUUUGUAUAAUGGGUCAGCGACUUAUAUUCUGUAGCAAGGUUAACCGAAUAGGGGAGCCGGAGGGAAACCGAGUCUUAAUUGGGCGUUAAGUUGCAGGGUAUAGACCCGAAACCCGGUGAUCUAGCCAUGGGCAGGUUGAAGGUUGGGUAACACUAACUGGAGGACCGAACCGACUAAUGUUGAAAAAUUAGCGGAUGACCUGUGGCUGGGGGUGAAAGGCCAAUCAAACCGGGAGAUAGCUGGUUCUCCCCGAAAGCUAUUUAGGUAGCGCCUCGUGAAUUCAUCUCCGGGGGUAGAGCACUGUUUCGGCUAGGGGGCCAUCCCGGCUUACCAACCCGAUGCAAACUGCGAAUACCGGAGAAUGUUAUCACGGGAGACACACGGCGGGUGCUAACGUCCGUCGUGAAGAGGGAAACAACCCAGACCGCCAGCUAAGGUCCCAAAGUCAUGGUUAAGUGGGAAACGAUGUGGGAAGGCCCAGACAGCCAGGAUGUUGGCUUAGAAGCAGCCAUCAUUUAAAGAAAGCGUAAUAGCUCACUGGUCGAGUCGGCCUGCGCGGAAGAUGUAACGGGGCUAAACCAU
rnacentral:rRNA from 1 species